GACGAACGCUGGCGGCGCGCCUAACACAUGCAAGUCGAGCGAGAACCAGCCCUUCGGGGCUGGGGACAGCGGCGAACGGGUGAGUAACACGUGGGUGAUCUACCCUCGGUUCUGGGAUAGCCCGGGGAAACCCGGAUUAAUACCGGAUGGCCUUUCGAGUCCUCGGACCUGAAAGAAAAGGUAGCUUCGGCCUCCGACCGAGGAUGAGCCCGCGGCCGAUUAGCUUGUUGGUGGGGUAAUGGCCUACCAAGGCAACCAUCGGUAGCUGGUCUGAGAGGACGAUCAGCCACACUGGGGACUGAGACACGGCCCAGACUCCUACGGGAGGCAGCAGUGGGGAAUCUUGCGCAAUGGGCGAAAGCCUGACGCAGCGACGCCGCGUGCGGGAAGAAGGCCUUCGGUU
rnacentral:rRNA from 1 species